UCAUUGCACCAAAAAGGCCCAUCUACACUGAAGAACCUUCAGGGGAAUUUUGACUCACAAAUUCAAUGACUUUACAUUAGGAUGAGAAAUAUUUCAGAGAGUGCACAAUUAAUGUUCGUGUCAAUUGUGAAACAAUUUUCGCAAAAAUUUUAUCCGCCUUGAAGCAGCUAGCAAAAUUAUUUGUAAAAUGAAGUCUCAAAAACUUUGUUCCAGACAUACUUUGCUACUUAAUUAUAUGAGAAGUGCCUGAGUGUGUUGCUUUUCUAUUGUUCUGUAACAAAUUACUACAAAUUAAUGGUUUAAAAUAUCACCCAUUUGUUAUCGUAGUCGUGUAGGUCCGGAGUUGGUAUGGUAUAGCAGAGUGCUCUGCUUAAGGGUCUCACACUGUUGAAGUAAAGGCGUCUGCAAGUGGAAUCUCAUUGAAGAUCUGGGUUUCUCUUCCAAGCCCCUGGCUGUUAGCAGAAUUAAUGUCCUUGUGUUUCUUAGUCUGAGGUUCUCUUUGUUUUGCUAGUUGUUGGCCAGAGGCUUUUGCCAAAUAGCUCUUCUAUAAGCUUUCUCAUACUUACAGUCUCUGACUUCAUGGAGAUCCCUUUUAAGGAUUCAUCUGUGUGUUUAAAUCACCAACUUUUCACUCUUUCCACCAGGAACUUAGAGUCAGAAUUCUGGGAUAAGACUGGUAGAGCAUGAUGCCCACCUUACUACGAAUAAAAAUUGUCUGUCUUUCUAAGGAAUUUUAUAUUAAUACUCAGCACUUCAGGAAAAUUUCAUGGAAGAGCCCAAGACAUUUUCAAAUUGGAGAACCGAUUGGAUGAAUGAGUUUGAAUUCCAGAAAAAGAAAUGGGAACAACCAGUUAGCAUUCUUCAUGCCACUAAGGAAUCUUCCUUCCAAAUUAUGUGGAAGGU